AACCUUUUAUAGUUCAUAAGUCUGAUGACUGGGUUUUUACACUCAUGUGUGAGAUGUACCUCCCUCAAACCUUGGUACAAUGUUGGCACAUUAUCCAUCAGACU